rnacentral:tRNA from 1 species
GCCUUCAAGGUGUAAUGGUCAGCACAUUCGGCGCGUAUUCGACAGGUCCGUGGUUCGAGUCCCGGUGAGGGCA